CGAACGGGUGAGUAACGCGUAGAUAAUCUACCCUACAGUCUGGGACAACCUUUCGAAAGAGAGGCUAAUACCGGAUGAUAUCUUUUUUUCGAAUGAUAAAAGAUUAAAAGCUCCGGCGCUGAAGGAUGAGUCUGCGUCCCAUUAGCUAGUUGGUGGGGUAAUAGCCUACCAAGGCAACGAUGGGUAGCGGGUCUGAGAGGACGAUCCGUCACACUGGCACUGAGAUACGGGCCAG
rnacentral:rRNA from 1 species